rnacentral:rRNA from 1 species
GAGUUGAUCCUGGCUCAGGAUGAACGCGAACGCUAGCGGCAGGCUUAACACAUGCAAGUCGAGGGGCAGCAUACCCAGCAAUGGGUGAUGGCGACCGCGGAAGGGUGCGUAACGCGUGAGCAACAUACCCUAUACAGGGGGAUAAGCCAGGGAAACUUGGUCUAAUAUCCCAUAGGAAAUAGAUAAGGCAUCUUGUUUAUUUUAAAGCUUCGGCGGUAUAGGAUUGGCUCGCGUGACAUUAGCUAGAUGGAGGGGUAACGGCCCACCAUGGCAAUGAUGUCUAGGGGUUCUGAGAGGAAGAUCCCCCACACUGAGGGGGACUGAGACACGGCCCAGGAUACUCCUACGGGAGGCAGCAGUGAGGAAUAUUGGACAGGAUGGAAAUCUGAAGUAGUUCCAGCCAUGCCGCGUGCAGGAAGACGGCCCUAUGGGUUGUAAACUGCUUUUAUACGGGAGCAAUAAGGUCUAUGCAUAGAUUGAUGAGAGUACCGUAUGAAUAAGCAUCGGCUAACUCCGUGUGGGCCAGCAGCCGCGGUAAUACGGAAGGAUGCGAGCGUUAUCCGGAUUUAUUGGGUUUAAAGGGUGCGUAGGCGGCUUUGUAAGUCAGCGGUGAAAUUGCAGCCUUGCAGCUUAACUGUAAAAGCGCCGUUGAUACUGUGAAGCUAGGAUUUGGUUGCUGUGGGCGGAAUGUGUGGUGUAACAGCGGUGAAAUGCAUAGAGAUCACACAGAAUAUCGAUUGCGAAGGCAGCUCACAAAGCCAAUAUUGACGCUGAGGCACGAAAGUGUGGGGAUCAAACAGGAUUAGAUACCCUGUAGUCCACACUUAAACGAUGAUAACUCGCUGUCGGCGAUAGACCGUCGGUGGCCAAGCGAAAGCGAUAAGUUAUCCACCUGGGGAGUACGAUCGCAAGGUUGAAACUCAAAGGAAUUGACGGGGGCCCGCACAGCGGAGGAACAGGUAUGUGGUUUAAUUCGAUGAUACGCGAGGAACCUUACCCGGGCCGAACGGUGCAUGAAUAAUACAGAGAUGGAUUAGUCCUUCGGGACAUGUAUCGAGGUGCUGCAUGGUUGUCGUCAGCUCGUGCCGUGAGGUGUCGGCUUAAAUGCCAUAACGAGCGCACCCUUGUCAUUAGUU